rnacentral:rRNA from 1 species
GACGUAGGGCGCGAGCGUUGUCCGGAUUUAUUGGGCGUAAAGAGCGUGUAGGCGGCCAGGUAGGUCGGUUGUGAAAACUGGAGGCUUAACCUUCAGACGUCGACCGAAACCAUCUGGCUAGAGUCCGGAAGAGGAGAGUGGAAUUCCUGGUGUAGCGGUGAAAUGCGCAGAUAUCAGGAGGAACACCAACGGCGAAGGCAGCUCGCUGGGACGGUACUGACACUAAGGCGCGAAAGCGUGGGGAGCGAACAGG